rnacentral:snRNA from 1 species
GUGCUUGCUUUAGUACUACAUAUCCUACCUUAUAGAAGACUAGCAUGACCCCUGCACAAGGACAACAGGCACAUUUGUGAAGUGUUUUAUGGUUUU